rnacentral:lncRNA from 10 species
AGUGAGCAAUGCAAUUCUGGGAAUGUUCAGGCUCUCUCUGUUCUUUCCUCUCUUGCAAACCAUGGGCACCCUUGGGUCCCUUGGGGUCACUAUGUUACACCUGCUUUUUAUCUGUCUGGGCAAGAGCUGCUCAAGCCACACCUUGUGACACUGAGAUCAGCUAUGAAAAUACCCAGCCGGCCUGCAGCCCUCCCGGCAGAUGCUGAAAAGGAAACCCGACUGGGAGAUGCCGCCCACCCUUAUCCCCAGAGAGCUGCGUUGUUUCCUCUUGCCUUGGCCUUUGGAUCCGGCCAUAGCAAGCAUCCCUGGGCACCUGGCUGAAGCUGGAAACUCGGGAUAAGAAUGGAAGCCCUGGAAGGGAAGAAGAACCGAGGAGUGAGCUUGCCCUGAGGACAGCACAUUGCACUCUCACCUCCUUUGCAGUUAAGUGUGAAAUAGUGCCAAUAGAGUGUAAAAGAAAAGAAAGAAGAUGAUUCACCUCCCAAAGAUUCCCCACUGCUGUGUCCCUUCUAUCAACUUGAUACAAAAAAACACAAUGGCCCCGGGAACCACGUGUUGAAGAUGAGAGAGCUAAAAGAUGGAAAGAGACUGGAGCCCUGAGUCACCACCUGGAGGAAAACUACCCACCCAUCAGGAAUUUCUACUACACAUUUGGGAGUUUUUGGGGUUACAGCAGCUAAUUUAACGAAAACACCCAGAGACAAGAGCUAUUACUGCACAAAUUGGUUAAGUUACCUUUUUGUAUGUUUGGGUCCUCUCUAUUCGAUGAGACUGCGCGUUCCUUUGAAGCAAAUCUGUUUAAAAUUCUUAUAUCCCCAGAGGGCCUAGCAGAGAGUAUGCACAGAGUGAGCCUUCAGUAAAUGCUGAGUAAAUAAGCUCCUAAUGGAUGAAACUGUGUCUUCGAAGUUUGUUCUGACCAGUACUUAGUAUAGGAUUUUGUGCUGUUGGUCACUUUUCAUAAAGGUUCUUGCUAUUAAGGAACUUGACAUCCAAUGUACUCAUAGAAAGUAGAAAUUCAGGGGAAACAAAUAGAAGAGAUAUGUCCAAAAAUCCAUUUAAAAUUUCAUUGACAGAUAUUUAUCUCUUUAAUCCUGGAAGUUGUUUCAUGUAAGGGAAGGUUCAGUAGAAUGAAAACAGGACUGUAAGCUGGGAGGAGAUUUGGGGUCUCUUGGCCAACUCUGCCACAAAUUGUGUUACCUUCAACUUCCCUGCCUGUAAAAUGAAGUCAGUGGUCCCUAAAAUGAAAUUGGACUAAUGGCAAAUUAGCUAGCAUUUGAUUAUACAUCGAUAGUUUCCCCAUGUGAUUUUAACGCACAAAUCAGAUUUUGGAACCAUUAGGUAGGUGAUCUUAUCUUAUGAGUUUAUCUUUUUCAACAUGGAAAAAUAAAUUUGUUUUGCUGACCGAAGGCUGUGUAACUUAGAACUGGAAAGAGACAUGUAAUUGAAUAACCCAUCUCUAUGGGGCAAAAAAAUGAAACACCUUUAGUUUGUUCAAAGAUGAAAUGGAAAAAUAAACAUGUUUUAAGAUG